GCCCCCCUCAAGAUGAGACUUCCCAUCUGUAAAGAGUAAGAUCCCUCAGAGACGAUGAGGUAGAUAGGUUCGAGGUGGAAGCAUGGUGACAUGUGUAGCUGACGAAUACUAAUCGAUCGAGGACUUAACUAA
rnacentral:rRNA from 1 species